UUUACUAACCAUAUACUCGAAGUAGCUAGCAACCCGGCCAUAUACUCGAAGUAGUCCCUAGCGAACCACUUACACCGUUUCGUUUCUCUUCAGCCUAAAAAUCAAUCCAUAACCCCUCUCUCAUUUCACUCCUCGCUCUCUGCGAUUCUCUAAGUCGCAAAACCUAACCCCUCUUUUCUUCGAUCUCUGAUUUUUGAAUUUCAAGAUGAGUGAGAUUCUCCACAUCCAAGGCGGCUAGUGUGGCAACCAUAUUGGAGCCAAGUCUUGGGAGGUGCUCUCUGUCGAGCACAACAUCGGCAGGUAUGAAGGCUACGCGCUUCAGCUUGAGAGGAUCAAUGUCUGCUACAACGAGGCCGGUGGCGCUAGGUACGUGCCCAUGGACAUCGUAAGAUCUAAACCGUACAUCCAGAUCUUCAAGCUGGAAAACUUCAUCUUCGACCUGUACACGCCGAGCACAACUGGGCUAAAGGUCACUACACUGAAGGGGCUGAGUUGAUCGACCACCUUUAGUUGAUCUAAAAUCUUUUUAUCUAUCCAAUUAAUUGCUUGAAAUGAAAUUGAUGCUCAAUUCUAAUCUUUAUAUCCGUCUGGGUUUAUGCUGAACAUCUUAAAGUGAAGAGAUUUAUGAUCUGCUGUCUAGCAAGGUGGUGGAGGGUUUGGGUUUGGAUGGCCUAAAGGAAUGACUGCAAUUCUAUGUUUUGGAGCUGCAAUAUAUGGUACCGGUGCAAACAAAUUGCAGUGACAGCAAGUGCUUAAAGAGCUAGAUCUGCUAGAAAACCUUUUGAUCCAAAACUAAAAGAAGUGAUUCAUUUGAUCCAUUAAUUGUAUUCCUUCAUGGAGGCUGGCAUACUGUUUCUUUGUCAAGCGUUUCAAAGUCCUUAGCAUUUCUCUCUAUAAUUGGGUCCAACUUGUUACUUGUAAAUUAUAGAGCGAGGUUCACUGGAAUUUGGUGAGGAAGCACUUCAAUCUCUUCCAGGGAAUAUUGGCUCCCAGCUUCGUGGAUACAGUCCCAGUCCAUGUUGGUCCAGUGUCCUACUUGUUGCUGUCCAAACCAACAAAGGGUGUUGAAAAGACAUUUUCGUUAAAGGAAAGUACAUCUUUGCUGGAUUGGUUGAUGGAAGGAACAUUUGAGCUAAUGAUCUCUCUGCUUCCCUAAGUACAUUGCAAGCUCUUGAAGGCAUUGUUGGCAAAGACCACCUUGUCGUCUUUACCUCCUGCUCUCUUCUUCACACUGCUGUUGAUCUUGUUAAUGAGACUAAGCUGGACAAUGAAAUCAAAUUGUGGCUCGCCUUUGCUGCCCAGAAAAUUGUUGAAGUUAAUGCUUUGGCAAAGGCAUUGGCUGGUCACAAGGAUGAGGUAUAGUAUCAUGCUCUUCUGCUGCAAUGUGCAACUUCCAAAACUUCACAACAAGCUUGGAGGUGAUGCAAAUUAGAAUAUAGUGCACAAGAUGGUUUGAAAUGGUGCAGCUAGGAUGCUUUCUUUGAUGGUUUUAUGGUCUAGAAACUUGAAUGUAUGGAUAAUUUACAAAUAUAUUGGAGCAUUGUUUCUAUGCAAA